GUCUGGGCUGUGUUUGGACGGCUAUUGGACGUCUUUAAAAUGCAGAAAUGCUUGCUGGAAUUCAUCAGGUGAUGAGAGAACCAAUGGGGACAGUCUACUAAUGCAAACCACUUCGAAACUUAAGGGACAUAAUUGACUGUGACACUCAAGAUGGCUAUCAGACAACCUGUGAAGUGACAUUGAGUGCUAUUGUGAUCACCGCACAAGUCAUGUGGAAUUUCCUGUAAGAUGGCCAUUGUGACGUAAAACGCCUCGAGUGUCAAAGGAACCUGA